AUUGAACGCUGGCGGCAUGCCUUACACAUGCAAGUCGAACGGCAGCACGGACUUCGGUCUGGUGGCGAGUGGCGAACGGGUGAGUAACAUAUCGGAACAUACCCUAGAGUGGGGAUAACGUAGCGAAAGUUACGCUAAUACCGCAUACGAUCUAAGGAUGAAAGUGGGGGAUCUUCGGACCUCAUGCUCAUGGAGUGGCCGAUAUCUGAUUAGCUAGUUGGUGAGGUAAAGGCUCACCAAGGCGACGAUCAGUAGCUGGUUUGAGAGAACGACCAGCCACACUGGAACUGAGACACGGUCCAGACUCCUACGGAGGCAGCAGUGGGGAAUUUUGGACAAUGGGGGCAACCCUGAUCCAGCAAUGCCGCGUGAGUGAAGAAGGCC
rnacentral:rRNA from 1 species